UGUAAAGGGAGGAGCCUGCAUUAUCUAGGUGGGCCAAUCAGUCGCCUGAGCCCUCAAAAGCUCUUUUAGCUAGAGCCGCAGAGACAAGUGGGAUGUCACAGAAAAAGAAGCCAGCAAGAUUCCAACUCAGAGAAGAGCUUGGCCGACCUUGACUGAAGUGAGGUCAGGGCUUCGUGGAAAACCAUGGCAAAGAAUGCAGAAUGGCUUGUGGAAGUAAAACAAGCCCUUGCCUGACAUUUGACGAAGGAAGAAGGACCCCAGUUCCACACAUGAAGAGAGGGUUAUUCCAGCACGGACUUGAAUGAGUCUGAAAGCAGAUUCUUCUCAGAACCUUCUGAUAAAAGCCCAGUUGCCCAACACCUUGGUUUCUGUCUUACGAAGCUCAGAGCUUCUGACCUACAGAAUUGUGCGAUAAUCCGUAAGGGUCGUUGUGGUUUCACCACAUUUGGCAUAUUUUCUUGUUCUGUUAAACUAGAUCUUCAACAUCA